rnacentral:rRNA from 1 species
UACAGAGGUGGCAAGCGUUGUUCGGAAUUACUGGGCGUAAAGGGCGCGUAGGCGGCUUGGCAAGUGGAAGGUGAAAUCCCUCGGCUUAACCGAGGAACUGCCCUCCAAACUGCUUUGCUUGAGGCCGGGAGAGGCGAGUGGAAUUCCCAGUGUAGCGGUGAAAUGCGUAGAUAUUGGGAGGAACACCAGUGGCGAAGGCGGCUCGCUGGACCGGUUCUGACGCUGAGGCGCGAAAGCGUGGGGAGCAAACGGG